rnacentral:rRNA from 1 species
GAGGAAAAGAAACCAACCGGGAUUGCCUCAGUAACGGCGAGUGAAGCGGCAAAAGCUCAAAUUUGGAAUCGCUUUCGGGCGAGUUGUAAUUUGAAGACUGUCUCUUGCGUGAGUGUCUUGUCGAAGUUCCUUGGAACAGGACGUCGCAGAGGGUGAGAAUCCCGUGCGAUGAGACCACGAGCGUGUGUAGAGGCAAGUCGACGAGUCGAGUUGUUUGGGAAUGCAGCUCUAAGUGGGUGGUAAAUUCCAUCUAAAGCUAAAUACAGGCGAGAGACCGAUAGCGAACAAGUACAGUGAUGGAAAGAUGAAAAGAACUUUGAAAAGAGAGUGAAAAAGUACGUGAAAUUGUUGAAAGGGAAGGGCUUGAGAUCAGACUGGGUUAAACCGGCCAGCAUCAGGUGCUGCGGCGAGACAAGACUGUGGGAAAGUGGCCUCGCUUCGGUGAGGUGUUAUAGCCCGCAGAGAUGUUCGCCAGCGGCGCCUGAGGACUGCGCGAAAGCAAGGAUGCUGGCAUAAUGAUCUCCAGCCGCCCGU